GACGAACGCUGGCGGCAUGCCUAAUACAUGCAAGUCGAGCGAACAGAUGAAGUGCUUGCACUUCUGACGUUAGCGGCGAACGGGUGAGUAACACGUAAGGAAUCUACCUAUAAGCGGGGGAUAACAUUCGGAAACGGGUGCUAAUACCGCAUAAUAUCUUCUUCUGCAUGGAAGAAGAUUGAAAGACGGCUCUGCUGUCACUUAUAGAUGACCUUGCGGUGCAUUAGUUAGUUGGUGGGGUAAUGGCCUACCAAGACGAUAAUGCAUAGCCGACCUUAGAGGGUGAUCGGCCACAUUGGGACUGAGACACGGCCCAAACUCCUACGGGAGGCAGCAGUAGGGAAUCUUCCGCAAUGGGCGAAAGCCUGACGGAGCAAUGCCGCGUGAGUGAAGAAGGCCUUCGGGUCGUAAAACUCUGUUAUAGGAGAAGAACAAAUUGUAGAGUAACUGCUACAGUCUUGACGGUAUCUUAUCAGAAAGCCACGGCUAACUACGUGCCAGCCGCCGCGGUAA
rnacentral:rRNA from 1 species